rnacentral:lncRNA from 1 species
AUUUAGUUUUCUGAGGAAUCUCCAUACUAUUUUCCAUAGUAGUUGUACCAGUUUACAUUCCAAUGACCAUACCACCUUGAACCUGUCUAUUUCCUCUUCUAUUUGUUUUAUCUCAUCUUUUUUCUUCUCAACUCUAAAUUCUGUUUGUUUUUCUCUAACACUUACAAAUAAUCUCUCAUUUCUUUAGCUCAGCCCAUUUAAAUACAUUUGAUCUUCAUGUGGGCAUUAUCAUUAGCAACUUCCUCCAUACCAGGCCCCAUGGACUAAGAAGCUGGUCUUAAACGAAGUCACCUCUCCCAAGUAUCAGUAAUUUUUUUUUCAUGGCCACGUGGUUGGCAUAUGGAGGUUCCCAGGCUAGGGGUCUAAUCAGAGCUACAGCUGCCAGCCUAUACCACAGCCAUAGCAACAUAGGAUCUGAGACGAAUCUACGACCUACACCACAGAUCAUGGCAAUGCUGUGUCCUUAACCCACUAAGUGAGGCCAGAGAUUGAACCUGCAACCUCAUGGUUCCAGUCAGAUUCAUUUCCACUGCGUGAUGAUGGGAACACCCCCAAGUAUCAUUAAUUAUAAUAGAAAUCUAUUCCUCAAAGUGCUCCACAUAAAAUUUUCAAAGUCUCUAUUCCUCCAACCUUCAGAUUCAUAGUUUUUGUUUUUUUGUUUUUAAUAUCCUCAAAAACUGUGGUUAAAAGAGAAGAAGGAGGGGAAAUUUGUGGCUUUUCAUGUACUUUGUUGUGAAUAUCAGAGAAAUCUGGACAUUGAAAGAAAGCUGUAAGAGGGAUAAAUAAUAAAACACAGUGGAAAGAGAUCUGUGUGAGAUAUAAAGGUGACAGUAAAAGCCAAUACAAAAUUAAAUUUUCCUUGGAUAUAAUAAUUAACAGAACCAGCAUUGCAUAAUGCCAAAUUAAUAUUUUAUAGCAAAAACUGAAAAUUACAUCCCAGAAUAAAACAAAUAUAGAGAACCAAAAGGAUAACACAGAAUUUUGGAAACUGCCUUAAGAUCAAUAAGAAAUUAAACUUCACUAUGAGAAAGAAUAUCUGACAAUAGAAAGCAAAAGGCUCAUUACAUUCUAAGGAAAUACAAUGAAUAGGAUGAAUAGGCCACUUUCUGAUCACAUUAAAAAGCAAUUUGAAAAAUCAAGAAAAAUUCCAUAACCCUCUAGGGCAGAUAAAUGUAGGUUACUUCCAGAGUAAUGAAAUCAAUGUCUCAGACUUUCUGUUCAAGAGAACAGAAAACGACAAAGCAAAGCCUAGUGAAUUUUUAUCGAAAAUGGUCAUGACCCAAGAAUCCUUUAUCUUAACAAGUAGUCUUUUAUAAAAGAAGAACAGAAAAUCAAUCUCCUAUAUGAAGGGACUAAAAGAUGGGCCUGUGGCCCAUUAUUGGAAAAAAAAUUAAGCAAUACUCUCAAAAAUCAAUACAGGUAGCAAAAUUAUUAAACCAAGAUGGGGAAAUUGUACAAAAUAAUUUUGGUACACUUUUCUAUCAUAAAAAUAUAUUUUUAAAGUGAAGAUAUUUAUACAUAUAUUUUCUUCCAAAAAUGAUGCUUUUGCAAUAGUGUGAAAAUGGGAAGAAUCUAUCAUAUUAGGGAAAUUCAUAUGAUUAGAAUUGAACAGUCAUUAAAUAUAAUGUUUUGAAAGAGAUUCUAAUGACAUGGGAAAUGCAUAUGAUGAUAUGACAAGAAAAUAUAAAUGCAAAGGAUAAAAACAUGUACAAGCAGUUUGACUUCAACUACUGAAAGAAAGAGAAGGACAUAAAAAAAACAUAUCUUUGUGAUACAAGUGAGAAACAGAACAAGGCUAGGGUAGAUGGAGAAUAGAAAGGAAGGAAGAAUUCAUGUUAGAACUCUUGCAUAUUGUUUCUGUGGAUGCAAACUUCUGCAGCCACAAUGAUAAACAGUAAGGAGAUUCUUCAACAAAUAUAAAUAGAACUAUCAUAUAAUCUAAAAAUCCCAUUUCUGGGUAUAUACUCCACAUAAUUGAAAUCCAGAUUUCAAUGAUGUCUUCUUUUGCGUGAACAAGCUAUUCCUUUAAUCAAGAAGUUGAGUCUUACUCCUCCCCUUUUAGUCUAAGUUGAUCUUAGUGACUUGUUUAACCAAUAGAAUGUUACAGAAAUUACUUUUUGGGAUUUCCAAGGCUAUAUGCAAAGAACCCUGAGGUUUAUGCCGGGGAUCCUCAAAAUACUUAUAUUGGGAUAAGCCAUCUGUCAUGUAGGAAUUUUGGCUGUCCUUAGAAUCUACCCUACCAUGCUGUGUGGAAACAUAAGCUAAACAUGUGGGGAGUCUUUGUAGAGAAAGAGUGAUUCCUGGCCAUCACCAGCUAGUCAAGACAUCCAGCUGAAGACCAAACAUAUGAACGGAGAAGCCAUAUUGGACUUCAAGAAUAAUAAAUCCUUUCUAUGACUCAGCUGCAAUAUAACUACAAUUGUAUGAGAGACACAAAGCAGUAAUUGAUCAGCUAAGUUUGCCAAUCUAGAGAACAAUUAGAAGUAAAAAAAAAAAAAGAAAAUUGGGCAGUAGCUAACAGAAAAACAAAAGAGAAAGGUUAAGAUAAGCAAACAGAAAAGUAUGAUUUUUUCCAAAACAGAUAAUUUGAAGAAUAGAACUUAAAAAUGAUUAUGAUUAAUAUCCUCAAGACUAUUAGAAAAUGUAUUAUAGUCAAAAAAGCAGACAGAAAAGAAUAAAGGGACAACUAGAAAACUGGUAAAGAAAACUUUUGCGGGAGUUCCUGUUGUGACUCAGCAGAAAUGAAUCUGACUAGUAUCCAUGAAGUUGUGGGUUCAAUCCCUGGCCUCACUCCGUGGGUUGGGGAUCCAGAUGGCCGUGAGCUGUGGUGUAGGUCACAGACAUGACUCGGACCCCACAUUGCUGUGUAGUGUAGGCCAGCAGGUAGAGCUCUGAUUCAACCCCUAGCCUAGGAGCUUCCAUAUGCCCAAGAGUGAGCCCUUAAAAAGGAAAAAAAGGUAGGAAGGAAGGAAGGAAGGAAGGAAGGAAGGAAGGAAGGAAGAAAGAAAGAAAGAAAGAAAGAAAGAAAGAAAGAAAGAAAGAAAGAAAGAAAGAAAGAGAAAGAAAGGGAAACUUUUGGAAGUCAAAACAAAAAUUCCAAUAAAGAUUUGAAAAUUAGAAAGAGUAAAUUCUUCUCUCCCAAUUAAUAAAAAUAAAUAGAAACAAAAAAUGAGAAAGAAGAAAUCAUAAACACCCCUCUUAAGAGCCAUUGUAGGACUGAAAGGACUUCUAGGAUGAGAAAUUACUGAAAACAGAGAAGAGGAAAUUAUUCAAGGAAUAACAGAAGGGAAUCCACAAAAACUGAACAGUAUGGAAUUUCACUUAGAAGAAGCCAACGAUUACUAAGCAUGAUGAAGGAAAAUAACAAAUGAUUCUCAUGUGGGUUAUCACUAUAAAAUUUAAAAACACCAAGGAUAAACCGAUACUUAGGGUUACCAAAAAAAGAAACUGAAUUGAAAUAAGCUUUUAAUGAGCAAAACUGAUGCUUAAAACACACACAAAGAGAAAUGUCUCCAAAAUUCUCUUGAAUUCUUUCAUGAAGACUGCUGAAUUUUACUGAAUCUAAUAUAGCAGUAACUUUAAGAAGCUUUAUUACUUCUUUAUAUUACUAAAAAGGGCCGAUAGAAACACUGAUAAAGUUGUUAAGUGCAGUUGUUUUAUAACAAGCAUAUUGAUUUCAGAGAUUAAAAUAUGAAAAUAUGUAAUUUAGAAUGAAUACAAUUUGAUAGUCAGGAAUUACCUCUGAAAACCCCUUAAAUUGUUUUUUAUAAAGAUUUAUACAUAGUUCUGUACAUUUGCCAUGCAAGGUAAUUCAUACACACUCUAAUGUUUGAGAACCAACAGAGCUAGAAUAAAUAGAAAAAAGUAAGACCAAAAGUUUAUAAGUACAUGUCUGCACUUUAAAAUAUUUCAAUUUUUAAAUCUGGUUAUGGAAAAUAGAUGAGGAAUUCUAAAGUUAUUCUGCUUUCCUGCAGGGUAUAUCCUAUUCUUCUUCUUUUUUAUCUAUUCUUCUUUUAAUUUUAAAUAUAUGCAAUAUUAUUGAUAUUAAUACAUUUUGUGAUACUUCAAGGUCUCUCCAAGGAGAUAGAACACAUAGCCUCUGGCCAAGACAAGAAUUACCAGACCUUUGUCACUCCACCUGUCUCAUUGUAAUGCUCCCUCUCCCCUUUGAGCCACCUGGCCUACUCUGUCCCACUACCGCCUCUAGGAAAGGUACAUGCCCCACUCCUCAUCCCACCCCUGUAGAAGGCUUAUAAGCCCCAAACUAACCAGUAAUGUACCAUAAGACCC